rnacentral:rRNA from 1 species
UUCGCCUGUUUAACAAAAACAUGUCUAUAUGGGGUUUUAUAAAGUCUGACCUGCCCACUGGGAUAAAACUAAAGGGCCGCGGUAUUUUAACCGUGCGAAGGUAGCAUAGUCAUUAGUCUUUUAAUUGGAGGCUUGUAUGAAUGGUUGGACAAGAAAUUAACUGUCUCAAAAAUAAAAUUUGAAUUUGACUUUUAAGUGAAAAGGCUUAAAUAUUUUAAAGGGACGAUAAGACCCUAUAAAGUUUAAUAUUUUAACAAUUAAAUAAAUAAUUUAUUAGUAUAAUGUCAAUUAAUUGUUAAAUUAUUUCGUUGGGGCGACGGUAAUAUAAUUUGUAACUGUUUAAAAUUUAAUUUCAAAAAUAUUUGUGCAUAGUGAUCCUUUUUAUUGAUUAAAAGUUUAAGUUACUUUAGGGAUAACAGCGUUAUUUAUUUUGAGAGUUCAUAUCGACAAAAAAGUUUGCGACCUCGAUGUUGAAUUAAAAAUUCUCUAUAGUGCAGGAGUUAUAGUAGUAGGUCUGUUCGACCCUUAAACCUUUACAAA